GUUCUAACCCUAGGGUUUUCCCCCAAUACGUUCAUCUCUCUUCCCCAUCUCUAUUUGCCUCCCAUCCGAUAUCAAGGUUUUGAUCUUGAACUCCUUGAUUUUCUUCAAAUGUUUUUCAAAACUGGUGAAGAUUUUGCGUUAUUGAAUCAUUCUAAUAAUCCAAUGGUGAAGAUUUUGCUUUAUAAUGGCAUUUUUGCCUGAAUCAUUGUAGUCAUCACCCUCAACAUCUUCCAAAAUCAAAGCCACCACUUCGAAUCCUCAACCGUACCUGUCUCACAAUUCAGCUCGGUCGUGACAUUCACCAAAUGAGGUCUGAGUCGAAAAGGCACCUCACAAGUCAACUCGGUCGUGACAUUCAACAAACGAGGUCUGAGUCGAAAAGUAUUCUCAUCUGGAUACACUUGAACUUAAAAAUGUAAGGGACAAGUUUGAAAGUUCAUAACCAGACUGUCGAUUGAAUCGCGUUGAAGAACUAUGGAAGGGAAAAUAUCAUCUAUUUGAACGAUAUUAACGGCAAAACAAGAGCUUUACAAUAAAGGUAAAAGUGGUUAGGCUAUGAAAGAGAUCAAAUCCUAAAAAGGUUGGUGAGACAUGGGCUAUUGUUAUGGUGCUCAUAGAUGAAAAGACUUUAUUGGGUACGUCGAGGAAUGGUUUCCACGGGAGGAUACAACAACACGAUAUGGCAAACAAUCCUACAAGAUGGACUUAAUAUUGAGAGAUUUGGAGUUUGUUCUCCUUUAAUAUCGUUUUUCUAAUAAUUUUCUUCAUACUGUAUUGAUUAUUUUUCGCUAAAUUGAUAACAAUUUCAUGGGUAUUGCUCUAAGGUUGACAUUGUGGUAGGAAUAUUGCGAUCAAAUGCAAGAGUACAUCUCCAAAAAUAAGGAAGAAGUACAUAUUGUACUUAUUGUUCAGUUUGGUAGCGUCCAUGACUACAAAGGCACCAUCAAUGUAGCAAAUGCGUACUACAUUACUUAGUUGUUCAUUAAUGAACGCAAUGAAGAGAUUGUUAAUUUCAAAAGAAGUUUAUAGGUAUCAAGGAAAACGGCUAACUUAUGAAAAGCUAAAGAUAUCGAAUCAAAGAAUUAAAGAUGGAUUUGGCAUAAAAUUUAAUAAUUAAAAUGGUCUUAAGAGGCUAAUAUUCCAGCCCACAUGUUUGAGCCCAUGAAGAUCAAAUUUAUCUUCAGCCCAAUAAACAAGUAGAAGAGCCCACAUGAUGGAGCCCAAGGAAGUCAAAUUUAUUUUUCAGCCCCAUAAACAAGUAGAAUGGUCGGCUGGUGAUGACGUGGGUGCCCGGAAGCUCCCACUCAGCUGAGCUGGAAGCGACAAGCAGGAAGCUAGAGCGCAUGCAAUAGAAGCCGGAAGCUCAACUAUACACAUCUUAAUUUCCAAGGCGGGAAAGUCAACAUGUUGUGACAUUAUCCAAAAGUAUGUAUAAUUUUAGGGGUCUGGAUGUGAAUGCUCUAAAAGUCUUCUUGAGACACACAAACUCUGAACUUACUUUAAAAAGGUAAGGUAAGCUGUACAUGUUAUAUUAUGGAGGAUAAGACUUGCCCUAAUGGGAAGGUGAGCUAUAAAGGAGGUUGUUCAUUAGGCAGGAAGCCCCGCCUAUAUAAGAACACUCCUCACCUCUCAUAAAGUUACCUCGAGGAAGCUUUUAGCUCCCUUAUUGUUUUAACAGCUAGAACAAAGUGUUAAUUCUAAUUCUUUUACAUGUAAUUUUAAUUACUAUGAUUCCUUAUAAAAACGUGGUAUGAGGAUUUAUAAAGUGAUAAUGAUAUUACUUU
rnacentral:lncRNA from 1 species